GUUUUCAACUUUUCAUUUGUACUAAAGUCAAAAGGAAGAAACUUUGGUAUUGGGUCUAUGCUUGUUUUCCCUCUUCACACGUUUCAAAACAGAAGAUCAACGAGUAACAUCCUCGCAUUUAAAUGGAUUUCUUACAGUUUCACGUCUUUCACCUAACAUUUUUGGGUAAAUUCAACCCCCUUUUAACCGCCGAAGGAAAAAAAAAAUGAAAACUUUGUGAAAUGGGUCAUCUUCAAAUUUUGAUUUUUUGUUUACAGUUUCACCUAACUUUCCCAAGCAUGUCCUUUAGUCUUGUCGAGGAAAAGAUCAAAACUUUUGAUAAGGGUCGUCUUUUUCUUGAGCAUUCUAGGUCUUUCUCAAUAAUCAUUCUCUGAUAAACUCUAAUUUUCUAUGUUUUUGAACUGAAGAUUGCUGGAUCAUCUAGAGGCUUUGAAAAGGGAAGGAAGAACCUUUUGAUGGAGACAGAGGAUUCAGGUUGUUUCAGCCCAUCAACACCUCCACUUACUGCAUCUAGUAGUUGCAGAAUCGCCAAGCGAAGAAAGGGCAUCCCUCACCGAUCUCCAAUGGGAUAAAAAAAGAAGAAGCAAAAGAGUUUGAGACAAAGAUUACUACACAGAAAUGUAUAGCUAAUACAUAAGCUUUGGUCUCUUAUUUGCUUGGGCUAGCAAAAAAACAAAGGCCUUAAAGAUAGGUUUUGUUCUACUAAUGGUAAGUCUGUGAAUAUGUAAUGUGCUUUGUAUAUCAUAAGAGUGAAUGCAAUAUGUAUUGCUUAGACUGCACCAACGGCCCGCUUUGCUCUCUUUGUCUUGCCCAUCACAAGGAUCAUCGCACCAUUCAGGUAAGUUCUUGCCAUAACUCAAAGUAGAUUCAUCUAAAGAUUUCAAUAUGUUUUGGGUUUUGAACCUGUCUUUGAUUGGUUUUUGGCAGAUAAGGAGAUCAUCUUAUCAUGAUGUUAUAAGGGUGAAUGAGAUACAGAAACAUCUUGAUAUAUCAGGGAUCCAAACAUAUGUGAUCAAUAGUGCUAAAGUCGUCUUCUUGAACGAGAGGCCUCAGCCUAGGCCAGGGAAAGGGGUAACCAAUACCUGCAAGGUUUGCUAUCGUAGCCUCGUUGAUGAUAGUUUCAGCUUCUGCUCUCUUGGCUGCAAGGUACUAAUUUUCAACGUUUUCAACUUUUCAUUUGUACUAAAGUCAAAAGGAAGAAACUUUGGUAUUGGGUCUAUGCUUGUUUUCCCUCUUCACACGUUUCAAAACAGAAGAUCAACGAGUAACAUCCUCGCAUUUAAAUGGAUUUCUUACAGUUUCACGUCUUUCACCUAACAUUUUUGGGUAAAUUCAACCCCCUUUUAACCGCCGAAGGAAAAAAAAAAUGAAAACUUUGUGAAAUGGGUCAUCUUCAAAUUUUGAUUUUUUGUUUACAGUUUCACCUAACUUUCCCAAGCAUGUCCUUUAGUCUUGUCGAGGAAAAGAUCAAAACUUUUGAUAAGGGUCGUCUUUUUCUUGAGCAUUCUAGGUCUUUCUCAAUAAUCAUUCUCUGAUAAACUCUAAUUUUCUAUGUUUUUGAACUGAAGAUUGCUGGAUCAUCUAGAGGCUUUGAAAAGGGAAGGAAGAACCUUUUGAUGGAGACAGAGGAUUCAGGUUGUUUCAGCCCAUCAACACCUCCACUUACUGCAUCUAGUAGUUGCAGAAUCGCCAAGCGAAGAAAGGGCAUCCCUCACCGAUCUCCAAUGGGAUAAAAAAAGAAGAAGCAAAAGAGUUUGAGACAAAGAUUACUACACAGAAAU
rnacentral:lncRNA from 1 species